CAAAUUAAAGCUUUUAAAGCAUUUUAUUUACAUUAAAAAGUUUGUUGAUAUUAUCAAUAUAAUUUGA
rnacentral:tRNA from 1 species